AAGAAUUUUAAAAAAGGGGAAAAAGACUCAUCAAAACCAACCAACUCAUCAGGCGCAUCUGUUGUUACAUGAAAUAUUUUGCACCCUAUGGCCUCUCACCUUCAGCCACCAGUCUGUGCCUGAGUCAGCAUGCAUUUGCAAAGCCAGAGAGCACUUAAAAAAAAAAAAAGUAUUUCAAAGAAAAUCCUCAACUCAGAGAUUACAGCCCCACUGCAGAGCUUAUUCCAGAGAGAACUACAAGUGGCCACCCAAAGCAUGACUUCAAAGAAAACAAGAUUCAUGUCUGAAGGUCCAACACAGAUACCUUGAACAUUACCUCUAAGAGACACCAUUGAUGGUCUUUUAAAUCAGGAAUAAUAAACAAACACACCUUCCCCCUGGCGCAUCAAAUCCCCACCCUCCACCCUUUGUUUGCUUUCCAGACAAACAAGGAUCCUGCAAAACCAAAA